rnacentral:rRNA from 1 species
AUGACAUGCCCGCCGGCGCUCCAUCCUCCCCUCUUCUCCAUCUUUCCCCUAGCCAUCUCCCUCCUCCCUCCCUGUUUCGCCCCCACCCCUACUCGGAUCUGGUCUGGAAUUUGGCGCCGGCGACUUGGAGGCGGAGGACACUCGAGCGCUCCUUCUGGAUCGGGUCAACACGGCUUCGCCGCUCGAUGCGGAACGACGGGGGCGGCUGGAUCGGCGGCGGCGGCUGGAGCAUGCAGAACGACGACGGCGGCUGGAGUUGGGGAUUGCCAUCCCUGUGAGGAGCGCGUCUCGCCGGCCGCGGCUUCACUGGGAGGAGCGCAGCUGCGUAGUCCGUCGCUCGCACCGCUGCUUCGCCGGUUAGGAGCAUCAGCUACGGCGCUUGCCAUCCCCGUGGUCACCGCUGCUGCUGCAAACGCUGGUGAUGGAGAAUCGCUCCUUGGUUUUUGUUGCUGCCAGAUCCUCAAUCGCUACCUCGAUCUUGCCAUCACCAGCCCAUCAAGGGCUCCAAUAUCCUCAGCGCUGCCGUAUAGAGACACUAUGCGAUGCUAG